UGAAUUAAAAUGUUCUAAAAGUUGUGUC
rnacentral:piRNA from 1 species